UACGAAGGGGGCUAGCGUUGCUCGGAAUCACUGGGCGUAAAGCGCACGUAGGCGGCUUCUUAAGUCAGGGGUGAAAUCCUGGAGCUCAACUCCAGAACUGCCUUUGAUACUGAGUAGCUUGAGUCCGGGAGAGGUGAGUGGAAUUCCGAGUGUAGAGGUGAAAUUCGUAGAUAUUCGGAAGAACACCAGUGGCGAAGGCGACUCGCUGGACAAGUAUUGACGCUGAGGUGCGAAAGCGUGGGGAGCAAAGCAGG
rnacentral:rRNA from 1 species